AGAUAACUAUGUGGUGGGACUCAGGCUGCAAGUUACAAGUGAAGAAAAUCUGUCAAAGUCUCGGAUUGAAGAACUCGUGAUUAUAAAACUCCAGGAAGAAUUUAAAAGACGUGGACUUCCCAGUAACUUCACCAUGAGUCUGAGAAACUAUCGCAUGAUCGCUCCAUGAGAGAUGACAGCAAACACACACACAUACAUUACUGCAUUUAUCUAACUAUCACUUCACUUCUGCAUAUCUUUUUCAAUACUACACAUGUAUCUGAUUAAUUAGGAAGUUUAAGACAAAUAUAGGAAAGAGUUUUAUUAUAAAUACGGUGUAUUUUUUAUUGGUAAAUAAUGUUUAACAUAAUUUACCCAGUUGUCUAUAAACAUUUUUAAAACUAUAUAUAAUUUUAUAACAGUAAGAAUUAAAGUGAUCAAAAACCUAUACACAUAAGUAUAAAUGUACUGAUUUAAUCUCAUUUCUGAUCAAAAUCUAAUAAACUGUAUGCUUGUCACUGUA